UAUGGCACUGGUAGAAUUCACUGU
rnacentral:ncRNA from 5 species